rnacentral:tRNA from 1 species
AGGGGAGAAGCUAAACCAUAGCAAUUAGUUGUUACCUAAUAGAAAGUGAAUAUUUUCACCUACCCUA